CAGGUAGGUGGUCUGAUUUGUCUGGAGGUGAAAGCCUUGGGCUUAACCCAAGAAGUGCCCCGGAAACGGUCAGACUUUUGAAUCUUGGAGAGGGUUGCGGAAUUCCCGGUGUAGCGGUGAAAUGCGUAGAGAUCGGGAGGAACACCAGAGGCGAAGGCGGCAACCUGGACAAGCACUGACACUCAACUGCGAAAGCGUGGGGAAGCAAACA
rnacentral:rRNA from 1 species